UCCCGAUUUGAAGCAACUGAAAAGACAAAUCCUGAUAUCCCGAUCGGGAUUGCAGAAAUACCCCGAAAUCCCGAUUUUCUAAAAAUAUCUCCCAUUUUACGACAACAAACCCCCAUUUCCAACCGGAAUUUGAAAUCCCGCUUCAUUUCUGAACUGGCCAAUCAGAAAUCGGGACAAUAGUCAACCAUUGCUGUUUACCUGUGUCGCAUGGUGUCGGGUUGGUCUGCCUGUGUCGGGGUGUUUAUUGGACAGUGCGAAGCAUGUUUUGAUAGUAAUUAAUCGGGAAGACGGAUUUCAAAUUGACAUAUCCUUUACACAAACAUGAAUGACAACAAUGAUAGUGUCACCACCAAACAAUCGGACAUUCCCAAUUUUUGCCUCUUGCUGACAGCAUCCAAAAUUUGCAAUAAGAUGUCAUGGGUGCAAAGGUUUUGUUCAUAAACUUCAUAGCAGGGCAGAUCACUCCUUUUCUGGUUGCAAUGCAGAUUAUUCCACCAGACUCUGCAAGCCCAUGUUUACAGACAAGCAAGAUCGUCUUUGUAGUCGUACCUAAAUGCAUGUGCUUUAAUUUAAAUUUUGAUAUAUAGACCAGCCAAUGUUUAUUGUAUGGUGUAAAAUGAUGCAACCUUAAGUAUUAUUUGAUAUUUAUGUGACUUAUUGGGAAAAAAUUUUGCUGAUUAGAUGAUUUUAAUAAAAUAUUUAUGUAUAUCUUUCAAAGUUUUUUUUUUAUAUAGUUAAUGGUCAAACACACUUGAUGUUGUGUUAAUAUAUGAUACAUUUACAAUGAUUUGAUUGAUAUUUUAUUUGAAAAGACAAAUAUUUAUUUUCAUGCUAAAAUGACGUGAAUUUUGAGCUUUGAAAAAAGGUCGUCGCGCGCAAAAUCCCCCAUGGGGAUUUUUAAAAGUUGGCAUGUAUGAAGAUGUUGCUGUUAAGAAUGAUUAUCUAGCACAACCAUUUAUUGCAAAGUUAGAUCUUGGUAUUGUAUUGCAUGUGUUAAUCAUUUAUGAUGAAAAUUUAUUCAUUUAUGCACUUAUUUACAUGUAUUUGUUAGAUUUUAAUCGGAUUAAUAAUAUAGGAACAAUAUCUAAGAGAAUAUAAUAUAUAAGUAUAUAUUUAAUUUAGAAGGUUAAAAGAGACGAAACGGGUGUAAAAUAAAGACAAUUUGGACCGUCCUCAGCCAGGGUCAACUGAAUUAAAGACAAAGAAGAGUGCAGUAAACUACAUUCGUAUUGUGAUUUGGUUUGAUCAUAUUUCAUUAAAUGUUUUUUUUUAAUUAUUAUUUGCAGGAGAAAUAGGAUUACGAAGAAGAGAAGCUUUGUCAUAAUUUUUUAUAGCAUGAAUUAAAUACAAUUUCUCAUAUAUUAAGAUUCUUCAUUUUUUCAGGACACAUGGUUGGUAAUAUUCAUGAAAACUAGCAGAACUCCAGUACAUUUGAAGUGUUAGUCAAGUAUACUUUAGGAGAGGCAAGCAAAUUCUGGAAAAUGCCCUAAAUGGUACCCGAAAAAUGCCUAAAAUGGUACCCAGAUUGUACCUAAAAUGGUACUUAUGUUGUACUAGGAAAGUACCUAAAAUGUACCUAGUUUGUACCCAAAACAUACCUAGAAUGGCACCAGGUUUGUACCUAAAAUUGUACCCGCAAAGUACCUAUAAUGUACCCAGUUUGUACCUAAAAACUCUCUAAAUUGGUAACCGGAUUUUACCAAUAAUGUACCCGAAUAGUACCUAAAAUAGUACCAGAAUUGUACCUAAAAUGUACCCGAAAAGUUUCUGAAAUGGUAACUGGAUUGUACCUGAAAAGUAUCUAAAAUGUACCCAAAAUAUACCCUGAAAAUGUAUCAAAGAAAUGUACCCAAAAGGUACCCCAAAAUGGGAACAACAAUGUUGACAAAAUUGUACCUAAAAGGUACCCCAAAAAUAGAAACUUUCAAAGUUGAAAUAAUAGCGUACCCAAAAGGUACCCCAAAAAUUAAAACCUGAAAAAGUUGUAUGGGAAAGAAAAAUGUACCCGAAAAAGUACCUGCCUGCAGCUAAAAAUAUUUUUAAAGUGCGGUUCCAAAAAGGGUAGACUAAUUCAGGUACCCUUUAGGUACAUUCCAGGUACCUUUUGGGUACAUUCCGGGUACUUUUAGGUGUAUCCAAAGUGUACCCGUAAAGUACCCAAAGUGUACUACCUGAAAUGUAUCUGAAAUGUACCUAUUUUCUGUAAGGGUCACCCCUCAGGCUCCAGGGGUGCAGGAAUCCUCAAAUUUACAAUUUAUGUCCCUAGAUCUUGUUAAAAAAAUGCUUCAUACCAAAUUUGAAAAGAAUUGGAAUGAUAGUUAUCAAGAAGAAGUUAAAAAUGUCUAUUGUUCACACAUUUAAUAACUGACCAUUUUGGCCCCACCCUGAUACCAAAAUACCUACCCCUGGGAUCAUCAAAUUUACCUGUUCUUUCUUACUAUCUAUUUACUUUCAAUUUAGUAUCAAUAGCACUAAAGAAGAUGUUAUUUAAGUGUUUUACACAUAAACACCAUGUACAAAGUUUGGCCCCACCCUGGGGUCAGAACCGGGCCUACCCCAGGGAUCAUGAAAUUUACAAUUUUGGUAGAGGACAUCCUUCUCUACAUCACUAUGCAUUUAGAUUUUCUUACACAUGUGUGCUUCUUGAGAAGAAGAUUUUUGAAAAUUGGUCAAUUUUGGGCAGUUUUGCCCCGCCCCUAAGGUGCUGGAGUCCUGAAAUUUACAAUUUAUGUUCCUCUUGUCCCAAUGAUGCUUCAUACCAAAUUUAAAAAGAAUUGGAAUUAUAGUUAUUAAGAAGAAGUUAAAAAUGUACAAUUGUUAACACACGACGGACGACGUACAACGACAACCAAUUGCAAUACUAUGAUUAUAUCUAUUAUGUAGAUAUAUACUUAUCAAUAAAGUUCAGUAUUUUCAUGCUUUCAAUUUGUUUAUUUAUUACUGUCUGCAAAUUCUAUUCCC